rnacentral:lncRNA from 1 species
GAACACAUUCCUCAGCUCGUCUCUGCGCACUGUUAGCGGGAGGGCUGGCCUCCAGUAGUGGUGAAAGUAAAACAGCACAGUCAAAUAGAAGUAAUUGACUGAAAGCCAUCUCUGGAUAUAUAAUAUCCUGCACUGCUAUGUGGUGUGAGCAAGGCACUGGAUUGCUGACAUUCUCUGCAGAGGAGGGGGGAUUUGGGUGUGCAGAAAAUAGAUCCUUCCUGAGAAGAUGAUCUGGCAGCUGCCUCACACUGCCAGCUUCAAUGACACAACGUCCCCUCCCCCAUGCUGAAGGGGCCAUAAAGGAGAGAGGUAAUUCCAGCAGUUCAGAUAAGGUUGAAAUCUCUCAAAAUUUUCAGUUUGUUGUCUGGCGUUGCGAGAACCUCAGGAGAAGUUAACUUCCUCCUUUUCAUGUUGCUGCAGGGCUGAUGGUUUCAUUUCAAGUAUGAAUAACUGAGUUGAACAAUGUACUGAUUUGAAAGGAGUAUUUACUCAUAAAGAAUACAAUCUCUAUGGUGUCAUCUUCAUCUAGUAGUAUCCAAUUUUAGUGGACAGUAUCCACAUUUUAAGGUAGCACACUAUUUUGUCAGUACAAUGAGCUAGAAACCUGCCUACAAUUUGUUUAUAUGGCUCAAACUAUUGGGAGCUUGCUAAUCUGUGGCACCUUCACUUCCUUCAAACCCUUUGCACUAAUUCAUUUAAAUUGG